rnacentral:rRNA from 1 species
GUGAACCUGCGGAAGGAUCAUUGUCGCAGACCAGAGCCACCGGUGAACCAGUUCUGUCACACUAGAGUUUGCGCGGGUUGUGCAUCUGGGGCCCCGAACCAGCCUGACCCGGCGGGCGUCCCCGCGCGUCGAGGGCGCUUGGCCGAGUGGUGGCGGGGGCUUUAGGUGCCUGACCGAGCGAGCGGACACCUUUUGGGCGCGGCGUGCGCCAAGGACUUGAAGCGGACUGUGCGGCGUCCCCUCCCGGUGCCUCGCCCCGUCGGGCGUGGCUCGCGCGUGGGGUUCGGACCCGCGUCUCUGGAUCUAUAUAAGACGACUCUCGGCAACGGAUAUCUCGGCUCUCGCAUCGAUGAAGAACGUAGCGAAAUGCGAUACUUGGUGUGAAUUGCAGAAUCCCGUGAACCAUCGAGUCUUUGAACGCAAGUUGCGCCCGAGGCCACUCGGCCGAGGGCACGCCUGCCUGGGCGUCAUGCCACACCCAUCGCUCCCCCGCGUUCGACCGCUGCGGUCGGCCGGGAGGCGGAGAUUGGCCGCCCGUGCCCCGAUUCGGUGCGCGGUUGGCACAAAGAGCGGGGUCACGGUUUGGCACGACACGACGUGUGGUGGUUGAGAGGCGACUCGUCGCAGCUCGGACG